rnacentral:lncRNA from 1 species
UGAUAGGUGGGAGAACCCAUUUGGCCUAUAAACCCCUUGACAUUUCUCUAUUUUUCUAAUGUGGGACAAUUGAUUCAUAAUAAUCGCUUCCACUUGAGAAUCAACGACCUCGUUGGUCACGGCUGAGCCCAGUUGGUCACAGUUGGCACCCCUCUUAGGUCUAGGCCACCACUCCUGGCGCACAGAACACCAUUCCGAGUCGCGGCUCCACGCGUGAAUCGAUCCUCGUUGAUCACGGCUAUGUCCAGUUGGUCACGGCUGACACCCCUCUUAGGUCCAGGCCACCACUCCUGGCACGCAGGCCACCACUCCAAGUCACGGCCCAACGCACGACUCCAUACGUGGAUCGAUCCUCGUUGGUCACAACUAGGAGUGUACAUAGG